rnacentral:rRNA from 1 species
UACAGAGGGUGCGAGCGUUAAUCGGAAUUACUGGGCGUAAAGCGCGCGUAGACGGUUUUGUACGUCAGAUGUGAAAUCCCUGGGCUCAACCUGGGAACUGCAUUUGAGACUGCAUGGCUAGAGUAUCGAAGAGGGAAGUGGAAUUUCCGGUGUAGCGGUGAAAUGCGUAGAUAUCGGAAGGAACACCAGUGGCGAAAGCGACUUCCUGGGCGAAUACUGACGUUCAUGUGCGAAAGCGUGGGGAGCAAACAGG